rnacentral:rRNA from 1 species
GAUGAACGCUGGCGGCGUGUUAACACAUGCAAGUCGAGCGAGAAUCCUGCAGAACAACUCUUCGGAUGAGUUCAGCAGGAGGAAAGCGGCGGACGGGUGAGUAACGCGUAGGCAACCUGCCCUUUGCAGAGGGAUAGCCUCGGGAAACCGGGAUUAAAACCUCAUAAAGCCAAAUGGUGACAUCAUCAAAUGGCCAAAGAUUUAUCGGCAAGGGAUGGGCCUGCGUCUGAUUAGUUAGUUGGUGGGGUAACGGCCUACCAAGGCGACGAUCAGUAGCCGACCUGAGAGGGUGAUCGGCCACAUUGGAACUGAGACACGGUCCAAACUCCUACGGGAGGCAGCAGUGGAGAAUCUUGCACAAUGGGCGAAAGCCUGAUGCAGCAACGCCGCGUGAAGGAUGAAGGCCCUUGGGUCGUAAACUUCUGUUCUAAGGGAAGAUAAUGACGGUACCUUAGGAGCAAGUCCCGGCUAACUACGUG